GCUGUGCUGAUCUGAAGCCAGGAGCCAGGUGCUUCUUCCUGGUCUCCUAUGUGGGUGCAGGGGCCCAAGCACUUGGGCCAUCUUCCACUGCCCUCCCGGGCCACAGCAGAAAGCUAAACUGGAAAGGGAGCAACCAGGACUAGAAACCAGGUGCCUAUAUGGGAUGCCUGCGCUGCAGGCAGAGGAUUAACCAAGUGAGCCAGGGCGCCAGCCCCUCCAUGGCAGAAUUUCUGAGGCUGGUUCAGGAAAGAUGAUGUGGACUUUGCUGGCUGCCUCUCCCAGAAUAUAUGGCUUUGGAGUCAGGGAACAAUAUAAAAAUUCCAGCUGCUCUGAAGUCACCAUGCUGGGGAGACCACCCGGAGACAGGGACAGGGGGACACAGAGAGGACACCCAGGGAGCAGUAGCCACAGCCCCCAGCACUUACAGAGACCCCAGACCACUGCCAAACACAUGUAUGAGCAGUGCCUUGGCGCCACAAUGAAGAUCUGAGUUACUGAAACGAAGUGCCAUGUCUGCAAGUCCAUAAACUCUUUUCUGCCAUUAAUACAGGCAAGAAAAUGUUACUUUUCAAGUACUCAAGGCCUACAAGAAAUCAGGGCAGAACAUGUGACACUUGACCUUCAGAAUGAUAUAUCUAAAAAAACUGUAAUUUUAAAAAUGAGUUUUGAAAAAUACCUUGUCUGAAACGUCUUUGAAAUAAAUGAUAUAAUAGCAAAUGGGCCGGCCAGCACCGCGGCUCACUAGGCUAAUCCUCUGCCUGCAAGGAGCCUGGAACUCCAUCUGAGUGUCCUAUGCAGGUGUCAUGGACCCACGCACUUGGGCCACCUUCUGCUUCUUUCCCAGGUGCAUUAGCAGGGUACUGGGUCAUAAUCAGAGCUGUCGGGACACCUGAACUUGUGCUCUGAUAUGGGAUGCCAGCUUCACAUAUGUUGCUUAACCCACUACGCCACAACACAGGUCCCCCAAAUUAGCUUGUAAAAUAAAUUAUUUGGUUAAUAUCCUAACUUGCUGUCUGAAACAAUAACGCUUCCUGUCUUUUGUCUCCUUUUUAGAUAGGUCACUGGCCCAUGUUGGCUGUAGAACGCACACUGAGUGGCCCACUGUCCGUGGCAAUGGAUUGCUGAUUGUCCAAUGCAGUGUACUCUGGGGUUGUGACUGACAGCUGCUUAAACAGGACCAUAUCCAGUAGCUCACCAAUUAGUAUGAGGAUCUCUGAUUCAUCAGAUACAAGGGACAACGACCAAGUGCCUACAACGUUCGAGGAGCACUGGAACAGCAGCACAUUCAACUCAAGGGCUUCUUUGGCGGCUGAAAGCGACAUUGCGUGGGAAAGUAACUUGCACACAAUAAAGUACAACACAAAUCUCAGUUCGAUUUUAGGAAGUCAUAGUUUUGUUCUUUGUUUACCCGUCCUCCCAAAUUCUAACUGAUUUUCGGAUUCAACCUUAGGUGAUACAAGCCUGUCAUGCUUUUCACUUCCUAUGGGCUUAACUUAGCAUGGCAUGUACUGCUCCCAAGGACUGUGAAAUUUACACUUCUGUUGUUCUCACACCACCCUGGAGUGGUACAGUCCACGUCCUAUGCAGUCAUCUGGAGUGGCCCUAUUGAUGCUGAAAGCAUUAGAAAAAGAGGAGACAAAAAAGGGAAGGAUGAGACCCCAAGAGGUUUCUCUCACCAAAACCUGGAUUUAAACAUUAGCCAGCACAUCUGUCCCCAAGGUGCCCUGGCCAUAGGAUUCCAAUUCCCUGUCUGAUUCCCUACUUUGUAUCCACACAGCAAGGUCUUGUCAAUAUCUGGUACCACCUGCUGUUUGCUGAUGGUGCUGCCUUGGUGCGUGCCCAUCUCUUA